UACGGAGGGUGCAAGCGUUAUCCGGAUUCACUGGGUUUAAAGGGUGCGUAGGCGGGCAGAUAAGUCAGUGGUGAAAUCCCCGAGCUUAACUUGGGAACUGCCAUUGAUACUAUUUGUCUUGAAUGUCGUGGAGGUUAGCGGAAUAUGUCAUGUAGCGGUGAAAUGCUUAGAUAUGACAUAGAACACCCAUUGCGAAAGGCAGCUAACUACGCGAAUAUUGACGCUGAGGCGCGAAAGCGUGGGGAUCAAACAGG
rnacentral:rRNA from 1 species